AUGGUGGGCGCAUGGCAGGAGAAUCUCCAUGGUUCUUGAGAUCAGGAGCAGCAUAGGCAGUAUGAGGAUGGAGAAGAAUGGCUGGGCUGUUCCUCCUCCUCAAGAACUCUUUCAGUUUGUCCAUGCCUUUCAUGGGCUAAUUCCCUGGACUCCAGAAGUGCGGGUCGCUUAGGAAGGUAUGAACAAACCGGCAAGUCAUAAAUCGGCGAUGGUGAACUCCAACAGGAGUCUA
rnacentral:sRNA from 1 species